rnacentral:tRNA from 1 species
GGAAGGGUGGCCGAGUGGUUGAAGGCUCCUGACUGAUACUCAGGCAGACGUGAAAGCGUCUCGCGGGUUCGAAUCCCGCUCCUUAUU